rnacentral:tRNA from 1 species
AGGAUUAUAGUUUAUAUUUAAAACACUUGAUUUGCAAUCAAAAAAUAUUGAUUUAUCAAUUUAUCUUA